UACAGAGGGUGCGAGCGUUAAUCGGAAUUACUGGGCGUAAAGCGCACGUAGGCGGCUUGGUAUGUCGGGUGUGAAAUCCCCGGGCUCAACCUGGGAACUGCAUCCGAAACUGCCUUGCUCGAGUAUGGGAGAGGGAAGUGGAAUUUCCGGUGUAGCGGUGAAAUGCGUAGAUAUCAGGAGGAACACCGGUGGCGAAGGCGGGUCUCUGGGCAACAACUGACGCUGAGGAGCGAAAGCGUGGGGAGCGAACAGG
rnacentral:rRNA from 1 species